rnacentral:rRNA from 1 species
CAGUCGCCGCGGUAUACGUAGGUGGCAAGCGUUGUCCGGAAUUAUUGGGCGUAAAGGGCUCGCAGGCGGUUUCUUAAGUCUGAUGUGAAAGCCCCCGGCUCAACCGGGGAGGGUCAUUGGAAACUGGGAAACUUGAGUGCAGAAGAGGAGAGUGGAAUUCCACGUGUAGCGGUGAAAUGCGUAGAGAUGUGGAGGAACACCAGUGGCGAAGGCGACUCUCUGGUCUGUAACUGACGCUGAGGAGCGAAAGCGUGGGGAGCGAACAGGAUUAGAUACCCCCGUAGUCCCUGUCUCUUAUACC